rnacentral:ncRNA from 1 species
CUUAUCAAGAGUGAUGGAGGGACGGGCCCUGUGAAAUCCGACAACCUGCCUUUAUGGGCAAGGUGCCAAUUCCCGCAGCGAAAGCUGACAGAUGAG